AACGAACGCUGGCGGCAGGCUUAACACAUGCAAGUCGAGCGCCCCGCAAGGGGAGCGGCAGACGGGUGAGUAACGCGUGGGAAUCUACCUUAUGCUACGGAAUAACUCAGGGAAACUUGUGCUAAUACCGUAUGUGCCCUUCGGGGGAAAGAUUUAUCGGCAAAGGAUGAGCCCGCGUUGGAUUAGGUAGUUGGUGGGGUAAUGGCCUACCAAGCCGACGAUCCAUAGCUGGUCUGAGAGGAUGAUCAGCCACAUUGGGACUGAGACACGGCCCAAACUCCUACGGGAGGCAGCAGUGGGGAAUAUUGGACAAUGGGCGCAAGCCUGAUCCAGCCAUGCCGCGUGAGUGAUGAAGGCCCUAGGGUUGUAAAGCUCUUUCACCGGUGAAGAUAAUGACGGUAACCGGAGAAGAAGCCCCGGCUAACUUCGUGCCAGCCGCCGCGGUAA
rnacentral:rRNA from 1 species